GAUUAUGACGUACUUGUACUGAUUGAGAUUUUAACACGAAGUGAGUGGCGAACGGGUGAGUAACACGUGGGUAACCUGCCCAGAAGUAGGGGAUAACACCUGGAAACAGAUGCUAAUACCGUAUAACAGAGAAAACCGCAUGGUUUUCUUUUAAAAGAUGGCUCUGCUAUCACUUCUGGAUGGACCCGCGGCGUAUUAGCUAGUUGGUGAGGUAAAGGCUCACCAAGGCAGUGAUACGUAGCCGACCUGAGAGGGUAAUCGGCCACAUUGGGACUGAGACACGGCCCAGACUCCUACGGGAGGCAGCAGUAGGGAAUCUUCCACAAUGGACGCAAGUCUGAUGGAGCAACGCCGCGUGAGUGAAGAAGGGUUUCGGCUCGUAAAGCUCUGUUGUUAAAGAAGAACGUGGGUAAGAGUAACUGUUUACCCAGUGACGGUAUUUAACCAGAAAGCCACGGCUAACUACGUGCCAGCAGCCGCGGUAAUACGUAGGUGGCAAGCGUUAUCCGGAUUUAUUGGGCGUAAAGCGAGCGCAGGCGGUCUUUUAAGUCUAAUGUGAAAGCCUUCGGCUCAACCGAAGAAGUGCAUUGGAAACUGGGAGACUUGAGUGCAGAAGAGGACAGUGGAACUCCAUGUGUAGCGGUGAAAUGCGUAGAUAUAUGGAAGAACACCAGUGGCGAAGGCGGCUGUCUGGUCUGCAACUGACGCUGAGGCUCGAAAGCAUGGGUAGCGAACAGGAUUAGAUACCCUGGUAGUCCAUGCCGUAAACGAUGAUUACUAAGUGUUGGAGGGUUUCCGCCCUUCAGUGCUGCAGCUAACGCAUUAAGUAAUCCGCCUGGGGAGUACGACCGCAAGGUUGAAACUCAAAAGAAUUGACGGGGGCCCGCACAAGCGGUGGAGCAUGUGGUUUAAUUCGAAGCUACGCGAAGAACCUUACCAGGUCUUGACAUCUUCUGACAGUCUAAGAGAUUAGAGGUUCCCUUCGGGGACAGAAUGACAGGUGGUGCAUGGUUGUCGUCAGCUCGUGUCGUGAGAUGUUGGGUUAAGUCCCGCAACGAGCGCAACCCUUAUUACUAGUUGCCAGCAUUAAGUUGGGCACUCUAGUGAGACUGCCGGUGACAAACCGGAGGAAGGUGGGGACGACGUCAAAUCAUCAUGCCCCUUAUGACCUGGGCUACACACGUGCUACAAUGGAUGGUACAACGAGUCGCGAAACCGCGAGGUUAAGCUAAUCUCUUAAAACCAUUCUCAGUUCGGACUGUAGGCUGCAACUCGCCUACACGAAGUCGGAAUCGCUAGUAAUCGCGGAUCAGCAUGCCGCGGUGAAUACGUUCCCGGGCCUUGUACACACCGCCCGUCACACCAUGAGAGUUUGUAACACCCAAAGCCGG
rnacentral:rRNA from 1 species